UUGGAGGGCAAGUCUGGUGCCAGCAGCCGCGGUAAUUCCAGCUCCAAUAGCGUAUAUUAAAGUUGUUGCAGUUAAAAAGCUCGUAGUUGAACUUCGGGGUCUACCCAUUGGUCAGGCUUAAUUGUCUGUACUGGUGAGAUGGAUCUCUACCUUCUGAGGAACUUUCAUGCCAUUUAUUUGGUGUGGUUGGAAAUCAGGACUGUUACUUUGAAAAAAUUAGAGUGUUUAAAGCAGACUAUCGUCUGAAUACAUUAGCAUGGAAUAAUGAAAUAGGACGGACUGAUUCUAUUUCGUUGGUUUCUAGGAUCACCGUAAUGAUUAAUAGGGAUAGUUGGGGGCAUUAGUAUUCAAUUGUCAGAGGUGAAAUUCUUGGAUUUAUUGAAGACUAACUACUGCGAAAGCAUUUGCCAAGGAUGUUUUCAUUAAUCAAGAACGAAAGUUAGGGAAUCGAAGACGAUCAGAUACCGUCGUAGUCUUAACCAUAAACUAUGCCGACUAGGGAUCGGACGAAGUUAAUUUUAUAAUGACGCGUUCGGCGCCUUACGGGAAAC
rnacentral:rRNA from 1 species